CCUACGGGAGGCAGCAGUGGGGAAUUUUGGACAAUGGGCGAAAGCCUGAUCCAGCAAUGCCGCGUGCAGGAAGAAGGCCUUCGGGUUGUAAACCGCUUUUGUACGGAACGAAACGGUCUGCCCUAAUACGGUGGGCUCAUGACGGUACCGUAAGAAUAAGCACCGGCUAACUACGUGCCAGCAGCCGCGGUAAU
rnacentral:rRNA from 1 species